AUUGAACGCUGGCGGCAUGCCUUACACAUGCAAGUCGAACGGCAGCACGGGAGCAAUCCUGGUGGCGAGUGGCGAACGGGUGAGUAAUAUAUCGGAACGUGCCCAGUAGUGGGGGAUAGCCCGGCGAAAGCCGGAUUAAUACCGCAUGAGACCUGAGGGUGAAAGCGGGGGAUCGCAAGACCUCGCGCUAUUGGAGCGGCCGAUAUCAGAUUAGCUAGUUGGUGGGGUAAAGGCCUACCAAGGCAACGAUCUGUAGUUGGUCUGAGAGGACGACCAGCCACACUGGGACUGAGACACGGCCCAGACUCCUACGGGAGGCAGCAGUGGGGAAUAUUGGACAAUGGGCGAAAGCCUGAUCCAGCAAUGCCGCGUGUGUGAAGAAGGCC
rnacentral:rRNA from 1 species